UAUGGCUCAGAACGAACGCUGGCGGCACGCUUAACACAUGCAAGUCGGACGGGGUAUGGGAGCUUGCUCUUAUACUUAGUGGCGGACGGGUGAGUAACACGUGGGAACAUGUCCUGUAGUGGUGGAUAGCUCCGGGAAACUGGAGGUAAUACAGCAUAAGCUCGAGAGAGGAAAGAGAGAUCGCUAUAGGGGUGGCCCGCGGCUGAUUAGGUAGUUGGUGGGGUAAAGGCCUACCAAGCCGAGGAUCAGUAGCUGGUCUGAGAGGAUGGACAGCCACACUGAAACUGAGACACGGUUCAGACUCCUACGGGAGGCAGCAGUGGGGAAUAUUGGACAAUGGGGGCAACCCUGAUCCAGCGAUGCCGCGUGAGUGAAGAAGGUCUUAGGAUUGUAAAGCUCUUUUGACAGGGAAGAUGAUGACGGUACCUGUAGAAUAAGCACCGGCUAACUCUGUGCCAGCCGCUGC
rnacentral:rRNA from 1 species